CCUACGGGUGACAGCAGUGGGGAAUAUUGCGCAAUGGGCGAAAGCCUGACGCAGCGACGCCGCGUGAGGGAUGAAUGUCUUCUGAUCGUAAACCUCUGUCAGCAGGGAAGAACGGUCACUGUGCUAAUCAGCAGUGCAUUUACUGUACCUGCAAAGGAAGCACCGGCUAACUCCGUGCCAGCAGCCGCUGUAAUACGGAGGGUGCGAGCGUUAAUCGGAAUUACUGGGCGUAAAGCGCUCGUAGGCGGUAUGUCAAGUCAAGGGUGAAAUCCCCGCGCUCAACGUGGGAACUGCCUUUGAAACUGGCAAACUGGAGUGUGUGAGAGGAUAGUGGAAUUCCAGGUGUAGGAGUGAAAUCCGUAGAUAUCUGGAGGAACAUCAGUGGCGAAGGCGACUAUCUGGCACAUAACUGACGCUGAGGAGCGAAAGCGUGGGUAGCAAACAGGAUUAGAUACCCUUGUAGUC
rnacentral:rRNA from 1 species